AAACAUUCAAAAUCUUCUCGAGUAAUCUAUAGAGCUGGGAUCCUGCUGAUCCUCAGAGUCCUGUGGUCUAGUGAAUGGAGUGGUGAGAAUGAGUUAGAAUACCUGAACUUCUGGUACUAACUCCUCCGGAGCUUCACUCAAGUUUUCAUUCACUGCCCACUCUACUUUCACCGUCGAUUCUACUGGCAUUUCGCUACCCCCAAAGAGCUUUCGUAAAGAUAUCUGCAAACCUGGAGGUGUCGUUAUCUCACAAUCGUUCAUUUAAACAAACUAAAUCACUUGCAUUAAAAGUUCCGCUUCAUUCACGUCCUCUGUGUUGUCUCGGCGUUUGCCACGAAAGCGAAGGUGCUCUUCUGAAAAGACUACACCAUAGAUGGUUCCUCUCCCGCCAGCUUCAAAAGUUGAAGGCGUCCGCGCCCCCCUUCCCCCGCCCCCGCCCUUGCUAGAACUAUCACAGGGAGAGCUCAGGUUGACCGAAGCGGGCACCAGAAGGCUAUUCCUUGAGGGAUAAGGAGUCUGGCACCGGAAGGUAGACCCUGCAGCAAGACCUCACCCAGGAGAGGAGAAAUUCUACGACAGCCUAGGGGGUUAUGAUGUACCCAGUUUCCCACCAGAGCUAUUGUCCUGAGAUACUGCAAAAGCCACGUACAGACAUGCCCAUGCCGUAUGUGUAGUGAUCCCGCCAGUCAAUUCGAAUAAUAAUAUGAAGAUUUACGAAUACAUGUUCCUGUGAGUUCAUCUACAGCAAAAUGAAAUAAAGAACUUAGUCAAUUGUACAGGUACAUUCAAAAAUGACUUUGCUACAAUUAGCUUGAUAUUUAGCCAUUUAUUGAUCAGUGGUGGGGAGGGGGGUUUGUUUGAACUCUCCAAAUAAAAGCCUUAAUGUUUUGCUACCUUUC